rnacentral:tRNA from 1 species
GAUGAUACAGCUCAGUAGUAGAGUGCAUGCCUAGCGUGCAUGAGGUUCUGGGUUCAAUUCCCAGUACCUCUA